UUUUUAUAUAUCAUACAGUUGUAUACUAAUGUCAUGAAAAAGAAAGACCUGUUUAGGUGAAUUAACUUCUGAUGUUAAACGAAUGUGUUUAACUCGGAAAAAUGAAACAUUAGAAAGAAACAAACAAAGUAGGGAAUGUUUGAAAAGGCACAUAUUUCAAAAAGGAAAAUAUAUCUAUACAGAAAGGUUUUCAGAAUCCAUUGAAGAAAAUCCUGAAUGUCAUCUAAUACAAUUAUUUUCCUGGGCAACAACGGGCACAGGUCUGCUAGUAUUCAAUAAAUUUAUAUCAGAGUUAAAUGAAUAGCUAAUAUAAUGGUUGUUUUAACCAAAAAUAUUACUGUUUUUAGAAAUUUAUUAAAUUAAUUUUAUUUACUGCUAUCACAUGAUAUGUUUUUAUUAUCUUUUUU
rnacentral:lncRNA from 1 species